rnacentral:rRNA from 1 species
GAUGAACGCUGGCGGCGUGCCUAAUACAUGCAAGUCGAGCGAACAGACGCGGAGCUUGCUCCUCUGACGUUAGCGGCGUACGGGUUAGUAACACGUGGAUAACCUACCUAUAAGACUGGGAUAACUUCGGGAAACCGUAGCUAAUACCGGAUAAUAUAUUGAACCGCAUGGUUCAAUAGUGAAAUACGGUUUUGCUGUCACUUAUAGAUGGAUCCGCGCCGCAUUAGCUAGUUGGUAAGGUAACGGCUUACCAAGGCAACGAUGCGUAGCCGACCUGAGAGGGUGAUCGGCCACACUGGAACUGAGACACGGUCCAGACUCCUACGGGAGGCAGCAGUAGGGAAUCUUACGCAAUGGGCGAAAGCCUGACGGAGCAACGCCGCGUGAGUGAUGAAGGUCUUCGGAUCGUAAAACUCUGUUAUUAGGGAAGAACAAAUGUGUAAGUAACUAUGCACGUAUUGACGGUACCUAAUCAGAAAGCCACGGCUAACUACGUG